rnacentral:miRNA from 1 species
AGGAAUUUUCUUGUGUCGUCC